AGUUUGGCACAUAGUAGCUGCUUAAUAAAUACUUGUUGAAAACCAAACAGAAAGAAAACAAGACAGUAUGACCUAUUAAAGGAAUGUGACUGGGGGCCACACUCACCUAUGGGCACGAUGAUCCCAAUAACAGCGGCAGUGACUGUUGAGCCCAUCUUACUGUCUUCAUUCCCAUCUGCAAAACACAAACGUUUGCAGAACGAUGCUCUAUCACUGUGUGUCCAAGCCCCUACUGGCCUCAAGUGAUCCUCCUGACAGCUCCCUGUGGUGUGAAAAGGAGCUAUCAACUACACUUGCUGCAGGUGAGAUGACUGUCCUGGCAAUGGCCCAAGGCCCAUCCUCUCUCAAUGUGACUGUUUAUCCAUGUUACUCCAAGAGAAUCUAACAGUUAAGGGGAGAAAAAGCUGCACUGCUUGCUUCCAGAGCUAACUGUGGAAAUGCUGCUGUCCUCCCUGCUCUGGGCCACAGCGAACACUGGACAGUGAUAUUAAAACCUAGAGCAUGAUGAAGCCAGUGAGGAGAAGCUGGUGAGAGGCUCUGCCCUCAGAUGAGAGGAACUGGAAUUCACACAUGCUCCGUCUGCCUCUGCAAACUUCGGAUGACUCAGUGUCUACCCAGCGCCUGGUCAUCAGCACUCCUGCCAAGUGGAUCUCAGGACAAAGAAAGGACAUGACUGUCUAAAGGGGGCCCAGACAUGCAGGGAGGCAGGCUGCUGGCAUCUGAGAAAGUCCUAGGAGAGAACCUCCUCCAGUGUGUGAAGAGCUUCCCAAGCACCAGGUCCACUGACUGUGGCGUCAAAGACAGUGAAAAGCUGGCCUUGGGGUGAUGCCAUCCAGGAAGGCAUGCCAGAUCAGAUGCCCAGGUUGCGGGAGCAGAUGAAAUAAUGAGUACAGAAAGCAGAAGAUGCAGAGCACCACGCACAGCAGGAGGAUUCUUAUUCUUUUUAUUAGAUACAAACUUCUCCAAAAUCUUUUAUGGCUCCCCAUUUUCUCCUUAGGCCUGCACUGAAAGCCUUCCACAGUGUGACCCCAAGUUCCCUGUCCAGCCUCAUUACUCGCCCCUCCAACAUAGCUUGAUUCCAGCUACCAGAUACCAUUACCUAGCCAUGGAUGGGCUUCCUGCCUCAGGGUCUUUGCUCAGGUUGUCCCUUCUACCUACUAUGUAUUUCUUUCCAGCAACUACCACCUUCUCUGCUUGUGCCCUACUGCUGUGGUUCAAGAAGGAACUACCUGAGCAAGUAAGUGUCUUAGAAAGAUAACUAGGGGCCAGGCACAGUGGCUCACACCUGUAAUCCCAGCACUUUAGGAGGCUGAGGCUGGCACAUCGCUUGAGGCCAGGAGUUUGAGACUAGCCUGGGUAAUAUGGCAAAAUCCCAUCUCUAAAAAAAAAAAAAAAAAUUAGCUGGGCAUGGUGGCACAUGCCUGUAGUCCCAGCUACUCAGGAGGCUGAAGUGGGAGAAUCAUUUGAGCCCAGGAGGUCAAGGCUGCAGUGGGCCAUGAUUGUGCCACUGCACUCCAGCCUGAGUGACAGAGACUCUGUCUCAAAGGAAAAAAAAAAGAUAAUUCAGGAUAGAAAGUAUUGGGGACAUAGCAAGAGAUGAGCUUCAGAGACUGGCAGGGGCCAGAUCACAAAGGGUCCUAUGAGCUGGGUGAGUUUGUUCUCUAUCCUAAGCCGAUGGCAGAGAUGGGACAUAUAUGAUAUACAACACAGAUUAUAUAUAUGCAGUAGAGACAACAUACAACUGCUCAUGUAUACACAAAACCUGUUUCCUGUUUUUUUUCUUAGAUUUAGGGUUAGAUUUUAAGAUGAUAAAUAAGUGACCUAGACUUUCCUGGCUACUCCAUAUGGGAGGACACUGUCCCAUGGGCCUCUGAGGGCCUAGCACCAGCUCCCACAGGCUGUUUCUAGAUGUAUUGGGCCACUCUCAGGCACCAACACUGUCUGAGGGGCUGCUCCUAGUAACACCUGCCCCUCAAGCUCCCUGUGCCUCCUUCUCUUGUUUUCCAGCUGACACUUCUGCAGGCACGAGUCCCUGUCACUGUGCAUCUUUGCCAAGCUAAUGUGCUCCCUGGAGGAUGGGACCAGCACAGAGUCGUGUAGGGCCUGGGGCUGUGUGUGUGACCUGUGUGUAGUGAUGGAGACUAAUUCAAAGCAGGGUGGGAGUGAGACAGAAGUGUGGUACAAAUAGAGAGCAUGGAGAAUGGGCUCAAGGUGCAGGAAGGGGCAAGGAUGAAAGCUGAGUUCCAGGCCAGCUCUGCCACUGACAAGCUGUGAUUUCCCUCACCCCAAAAUGACAGUAAUGACACUUCACCUCCCUGAAGGCAGGAGCCAGGUUAAAGGGGCAUGUUGGAGUGAUUUUAAAUGACAGCUGUGACUGUGACUGUGACAGGAACCCCCUGUGUUUAUGAUUUGAGAUUUUAUGUGUGUGGAUUUUGUAUAUGCAUGGGUAGUUGCGUGUUGUCUCCAGUGCAUGUACAUAAUCUGUGUCAUGUAUUACAUGUGUUCUAUAUGGGGGCAAGAGCAGGUUACAUGUUAUAUGUGAUAUACUAAUGUAUGAGUUACAUAUUGUACAGUUUGGGUGUUACACUUUUUGGGUUUAUGGGCAACAUGUCAGUAUUAUGGCUGCAGUAUUGUUAUAAUUUAUAUGUUGUAUAUUGUAUUUAACUUGCAUAUGAACUCCAGACUCAUAUAUCCAACUGCCUUCUCAAUAUCUCUACUUGGACACCUAACCAGUUUUCUUAAACUUAACAUGUCCAAAACAGCCUAAGAUUCCUCCAAACCUGCUUCCCUCACCAUCUUUCUCAAGCCCAUACGUAGCAAUCUUAUUUUUUCAGUUGCUGUAACUCUUUUUUGUCCACAUUCCACAUUCAAUUCAUAAGCAAAUCCUGUUGGCUGGCCUUUGCACUAUAUCUGCAGUCUGUCCACUUCUCAUUAUUCCCACAGUAAUAAUGUGGGAAUAAGGGUUCAGCCACCAUCACCUCGCUUCUGGAUUAUUGCAAUGACCUCUUAAGUGGUUUCCCUGCCUUCUCCCUUGUCCUCUACAGUCUGUUCUCAAUACUGCAGUCAGAAUAAAAUGUCACACCAUGUCCCUUCCCUACUCAGAGCCCUCAAUGGUUUCCCCCCAGUUAGAGUGAAAUCCAGAGCUGGCUCUUACAAUGGUCUAGAAGGCCCUUUGGGCUGCCCCAAGCCACCUCUCUGGCUGCAUCUCUUCCUAGUUUCCUCACUCCAACUGUACCAGCUUCCUUGCUAUUCCUUGAACAUACUAGGCAUGCUCCUGCAUUAGGGCUUUUGCGGUUUCUGUCUCUUCAGCCUGAAAUGCUUGUUCCCACAGAUAAUUGCAUGGUAGCUCACAGCCUGAAAUGCUUGUUCCUGCAGAUAAUUGCGUGGUAGCUCACUAUCUCACCUCCCUCAUUCCCUUUUUAUUUAUUAUUAUUAUUAUUAUUAUUUUAGAAAAGGUCUCACUCUGUCACCCAGGCUGGAGUGCAGUGGCAUCAUAACUCACUGUGACCUCAAACUCCUGGGCUCAAGGGAUCUUCCUGCCUCAGCCUCCUGAGUAGCUUGGGACUAUAGGUGCAUAGUACUAUACCUGGCUAGUUUUUAAAUUUUUUUUAGAUAUAGGGUCUUACUACAUUGCCCAGACUAGUCUUGAACUCCUGGCCUCAAGUGAUCUUCCUGCCUAGGCCUCCCAAAGUGUUGGGAUUACAAGUGUGAGCCACCACACCCACCCCCCUUCACCUUCUUUACUCAAAUACCUUCUCAGGGCUUCCCUGACCAUUCCAUUUAAAACUAGAACCCCCUGCUCACCUGGACUUCCCUAUUCCCAUUCUCUACUUUCUGUUUCUCCUUAGCCCUUAUCGCCAUCUGCCAUGCACUAUAUUUUAUUUAUUUAUCUGAUUUCUAGCCUGGCUCACCCAUUAGAAUAUAAGUCCCUUGAGGGCAGACAGGGAUUUGCAUCUGUUUUGCUUACUGCUGAAUCCCCAGUGUCUACUACAAUGUUAGGUGUCCAAUAUAAACAACUGAAUACAAUGAAUUAAUUCUGCUGGCUGAAUUGAUCUAUGUGUAGGUCUGCCCAGGUUGUGCUCUUUGUGUGGACUCCCUAUGCUGUGUGUGUAGUCUCUGUGUGGUUCAAUUUUGUGUCUAUAUAUUCUGUUGUAUGAGUGUCAUCUCUGUGGGCUAUAUUGGGUGGCUCUAUACAGUGUCUGUGUGGGUGCUAGUGUGCAGUGCGUUGUGUGUGUGAUGUGUAUGUACACUUUUGAGCACUGUGUGUACAACUGUUAGAGUAGGCAGACAGCUGGACAUGAGCAGAAGGGGGAGUCCCUGAGAAAAGGGAAAUCUAGAAAAUCUCACACCUAGAGACCACCCAAAACAUUCAUGCUAGAUAUGAGCAGAGAGGAGGGGAAAUACCUGUGCAGAAAGGAAUGCCCCUUAAGAUGCCCAGAAACUGCUCACUCUGCAGUUCUCCCAUCAGAAUGUAGCUAGCUCCAUGUUGAGGAGGGGGGGAAGGGCAAAGGGGAAAUCCCUAAGAAAUAUGCAGGCCCAAUCAGAUUUGACCGCUAUACCACCUUCCUAGGGUGGUGGUAAUGAGUGAUGCCACCAUUAGGUAGUAUUUGUGCCCAGAGCUGGGCAUGCGCACAAGCUAAUAGGAAGGGGAGGUCCCACAAGCCUGGGUGGGAACUAGGUGAGGAACAGGCAGGGACUUAAAGAAGGAAUGGGAAAACUAGACAAAGAAAAAGGCAGAGAUUUAGGACAGAGACAGGAACUUCAAGAAAAAAACCCAAUGCAGAACUCUUAGGGCUGCCGCUGGUUCAUUCUCUUUUAGCAGCCUGCCCCACUCUGCCUCACCUUUCAGAGUGCACUGUCCCUUUAAAGAAACACAGCUAUUGCUGCUGCUCCCAGCUGGGUCAGCCUGCUCCUGUCUUAGACUGUACUCUUAUCUCCUUAAUAAACCUUUGGCUUAU